CAACAUGGGCACCUGGCAGAGGUACUUGGGGAAGAGGAAGACUAUGAGUUCAGCCUGGCCACCUGCAAGAGUGCUGGGCUGAGCCUGUGGUGACUUCUCAGCCCUGGUCUUGUUGGUGUGAACUGCACAGCCCACUGUGGACUUCCUGCCUUUCAGCACUGGCUCGGGACAUGGAGGCGCGCUACCAUCGCAAGCCAAGAAUGACGUGCACAUUUUUCUAGGUUUCCCGAUGCUCACAGACACUGCCAGCUUCCUGCCCACUGUCCCCUGGGGCUCCAAGGAUAAUCUCUUCAGCUGACACCCAGAAGACAGACACCCUUCAACAAAAGAUCACCCUAACAAUGUCCAGGAUCCCCAAGCCCUGCUACCUCCUUGCAUGGCUGGGUCCCAUGGCACCAACUCAGCCCCUCAGACACUUGAGUUCUGGGUUGCAAACUUCUUCUUAAACCCACGAGAAACCACCCAGCCAGGAGAAGCUGCUCUAGGGAUGGCUACAGAGAUGCUCUACAGCACCGUCACCCUCCCAGG
rnacentral:lncRNA from 1 species